rnacentral:tRNA from 1 species
AAGGCUUUAGCUUAAUCAGAGUGUCUGUUUUGCAUGCAGAAGGUGUAGGGUAAUAUCCUGCAAGCCUUA